AUGGACUUUGAACAUUGGAUAGAGAUUCUAACAUCUAAAAAGAAUAUUAGGGUUAUACAGAUUCGAACAAUAGACCUUCUCAAUAAAAAAAAUCAAACUGAUUAUUGUUGAAAUUAUGUGAACUGUUUCAAAGACCCAACAUGUUUUUUUUUGCAUUGGGCUCUUUCAUAAACUGAUUUAAAGAUCAGUUAG
rnacentral:rRNA from 1 species